rnacentral:lncRNA from 1 species
UACUGCAAGUGUUUCAUUUUUAGCUUGCCUGAAAGCACUGAAGUUUGAUGCAUCACUGUCUUCCAGAAGACUGUUGAGGGAAACCGGUCCCCUGCCUCAGGGGAACAUGCGAUCAUCCUCCCCCAAGAACACGUGGCCCCACACAGGCACAGCUCAGCAGGGCGGGGUGGGCCAUGCAGACCUGCCGAGGGGACACACGCAGGACGGGAGCAAUGCUGUUGAGUAGCGACCCUCCCGACAAGGCCACGCUGCAUCCCGAUAUUUUCCCUUUACUUUUAAACUCUGGGAAGUAAGUGUAAAGUUCUGGCCUCCAGUGAAUCAAAGUGCUUCUUCUCUAAUGCGUUCAUUAUGAAAAUAUUAGUCUCAUUGUCUUUUCUUUUUCAGAACUUAGACUGUUUCUUUAUUUUGCAGGCAUGAAAACAAAAAGAAACCCGUGAUCAAUUUAAAAUCUAAUGCCCUCUGGGAUGAGUCUGAUGACAGUAACUCAGAAAUUGAGGCUGCUUUACGCCCCAGAAACCAUAACACCGAUGAUUCUGAUGAUUUUUAUGACUAACGUGCUGUGACAUUGGUUUC